rnacentral:rRNA from 1 species
UACGUAGGGUGCGAGCGUUAAUCGGAAUUACUGGGCGUAAAGCGUGCGCAGGCGGUUUGCUAAGACCGAUGUGAAAUCCCCGGGCUUAACCUGGGAACUGCAUUGGUGACUGGCAGGCUAGAGUAUGGCAGAGGGGGGUAGAAUUCCACGUGUAGCAGUGAAAUGCGUAGAUAUGCGGAGGAACACCGAUGGCGAAGGCAAUCCCCUGGACCUGUACUGACGCUCAUGCACGGAAGCGUGGGGAGCAAACAGG